rnacentral:rRNA from 1 species
GAUGAACGCUGGCGGCGUGCCUAAUACAUGCAAGUCGAGCGAGCGGACGAGAAGCUUGCUUCUCUGAUGUUAGCGGCGGACGGGUGAGUAACACGUGGAUAACCUACCUAUAAGACUGGGAUAACUUCGGGAAACCGGAGCUAAUACCGGAUGAUAUUUUGAACCGCAUGGUUCAAAAGUGAAAGACGGUCUUGCUGUCACUUAUAGAUGGAUCCGCGCUGCAUUAGCUAGUUGGUAAGGUAACGGCUUACCAAGGCAACGAUGCAUAGCCGACCUGAGAGGGUGAUCGGCCACACUGGAACUGAGACACGGUCCAGACUCCUACGGGAGGCAGCAGUAGGGAAUCUUCCGCAAUGGGCGAAAGCCUGACGGAGCAACGCCGCGUGAGUGAUGAAGGCCUUCGGAUCGUAAAACUCUGUUAUUAGGGAAGAACAUAUGUGUAAGUAACUGUGCACAUCUUGACGGUACCUAAUCAGAAAGCCACGGCUAACUACGUG